AUGAACGCUGGCGGCGUGCCUAAUACAUGCAAGUCGAGCGAACGGACGAGAAGCUUGCUUCUCUGAUGUUAGCGGCGGACGGGUGAGUAACACGUGGAUAACCUACCUAUAAGACUGGGAUAACUUCGGGAAACCGGAGCUAAUACCGGAUAAUAUUUUGAACCGCAUGGUUCAAAAGUGAAAGACGGUCUUGCUGUCACUUAUAGAUGGAUCCGCGCUGCAUUAGCUAGUUGGUAAGGUAACGGCUUACCAAGGCAACGAUGCAUAGCCGACCUGAGAGGGUGAUCAGCCACACUGGAACUGAGACACGGUCCAGACUCCUACGGGAGGCAGCAGUAGGGAAUCUUCCGCGAUGGGCGAAAGCCUGACGGAGCAACGCCGCGUGAGUGAUGAAGGUCUUCGGAUCGUAAAACUCUGUUAUUAGGGAAGAACAUAUGUGUAAGUAACUGUGCACAUCUUGACGGUACCUAAUCAGAAAGCCACGGCUAACUACGUG
rnacentral:rRNA from 1 species